CUACGGGUCGCAGCAGCUAAGAAUAUUCCGCAAUGGGCGCAAGCCUGACGGAGCGACGCCGCGUGGAGGAUGAAGGCUUUCGGGUUGUAAACUCCUUUUCUUAGGGAAGAAUAAAGUUGGGAGGAAAUGCCCGACCGAUGACGGUACCUAAGGAAUAAGCCCCGGCUAAUUACGUGCCAGCAGCCGCGGUAAUACGUAUGGGGCAAGCGUUGUUCGGAUUCACUGGGCGUAAAGGGCGUGUAGGCGGUGUGAUAAGUCGGAUGUGAAAUCUCCAGGCUUAACCUGGAAACUGCAUUCGAAACUGUCAUGCUUGAGUACCGGAGAGGGAGACGGAAUUCCUGGUGUAGGGGUGAAAUCUGUAGAUAUCAGGAAGAACACCGGUGGCGAAGGCGGUCUCCUGGCCGGAUACUGACGCUGAGGCGCGAAAGCUAGGGGAGCAAACAGGAUUAGAUACCCGGGUAGUC
rnacentral:rRNA from 1 species